UAAGUCUCAGUUCGGAUUGAAGGCUGAAAUUCGCCUUCAUGAAGCCGGAAUUGCUAGUAAUGGCAGGUCAGCAUACUGCCGUGAAUACGUUCCUGGGCCUUGUACACACCGCCCGUCACACCAUGAGAGUUGGGAAUACCCGAAGCCUGUGAGCUAACUUUUAGAGGCAGCAGUCGAAGGUAGAAUCAAUNAUUGGGGUGAAGUCGUAACAAGGUAUC
rnacentral:rRNA from 1 species